GACGAACGCUGGCGGCGUGCCUAAUACAUGCAAGUCGAGCGAGCUGAAUUCAAAGAUCCCUUCGGGGUGAUUUGUUGGAUGCUAGCGGCGGAUGGGUGAGUAACACGUGGGCAAUCUGCCCUAAAGACUGGGAUACCACUUGGAAACAGGUGCUAAUACCGGAUAACAACAUGAAUCGCAUGAUUCAAGUUUGAAAGGCGGCGCAAGCUGUCACUUUAGGAUGAGCCCGCGGCGCAUUAGCUAGUUGGUGGGGUAAAGGCCUACCAAGGCAAUGAUGCGUAGCCGAGUUGAGAGACUGAUCGGCCACAUUGGGACUGAGACACGGCCCAAACUCCUACGGGAGGCAGCAGUAGGGAAUCUUCCACAAUGGACGCAAGUCUGAUGGAGCAACGCCGCGUGAGUGAAGAAGGUUUUCGGAUCGUAAAGCUCUGUUGUUGGUGAAGAAGGAUAGAGGCAGUAACUGGUCUUUAUUUGACGGUAAUCAACCAGAAAGUCACGGCUAACUACGUG
rnacentral:rRNA from 1 species